rnacentral:rRNA from 1 species
GAUGAACGCUGACAGCAUGCUUAACACAUGCAAGUCUACUUGAACUUCGGUUUGGGUGGCGGACGGGUGAGUUACGCGUAAAGAACUUGCCCCACAGAUAGGGAUAACAUUUGGAAACGAAUGCUAAUACCUGAUAUUAUGAUUUUACGGCAUCUUAGUAUUAUGAAAGCAAUCUGCAAUGUGAGAGAGUUUUUCGUCCCAUUAGCUAGUAGGAGAGGUAACGACUCUCCAAGGCGAUGGUGGGUAGCCGGCCUGAGAGGGUGAACGGCCACACAGGGAGUGAGUCACAGCCCGUACGGCUUCGUGAGGCAGGAGGGAGUGAGAAUGGUCGAAGGACCAAGAGACUGAUGAAGCAGUUCUGUGUGCAGAAUGAAGUUGUUCGGAAUGUAGAGUGCUUUCAGUAGGGGAGAAAAAAAUGACGGUACCGACAGAAGAAGUGACGGCUAACUACGUG